rnacentral:rRNA from 1 species
CGCAGCCGCGGUAAUUCCAGCUCCAAUAGCGUAUAUUAAAGUUGUUGCAGUUAAAAAGCUCGUAGUUGAAUUUCGGGAUUGGCGCAUCGGUCGUGCCUUACGGGGUAUGAACUGGUGCAGUCAAUUUCUCACCUCCUGGAGAACCGCGAUGUCCUUAAUUGGGUGCCGCGGGGAAACCAGGACCUUUACUUUGAAAAAAUUAGAGUGUUUAAAGCAGGCAUUUUUGCUUGAAUACAUUAGCAUGGAAUAAUAAAAUAGGACGGCAUGGUUCUAUUUUGUUGGUUCUAGGACCACCGUAAUGAUUAAUAGGGAUAGUUGGGGGCAUUAGUAUUCAAUUGUCAGAGGUGAAAUUCUUGGAUUUAUUGAAGACUAACUACUGCGAAAGCAUUUGCCAAGGAUGUUUUCAUUAAUCAAGAACGAAAGUUAGGGGAUCGAAGGCGAUCAGAUACCGUCGUAGUCUUAACCAUAAACUAUAGCCGACUAGGAAUCAGACGACGUUAAUUUUUUAAUGACUCGUUUGGCACCUUACGG